AGGUAGGGGCCGACAAGAUCCGAACAGCUAGAGGACGCCCACGACCACCAUGGCACGGUUGGUCGGCAACAUGAGGGAAUCCGAAGGAAGAGAGAACAACACCGAGAUCUCUGAUCUUGUGUAAAGGGGUCUCCUUCUUCUGAAGCAGAGAGAUCAAGUGCAGUACAAGAAUAACGAAGUAUGUCUGCCUGUUAAAACCCUAAAAUUGCAGGCAUAAAGGCUCUCCGUGCUUCAUUUUCUCCUUCUCGGCCUCUUCGCUCGCUGGGUUGAGGAUGGGGUUUGGGGUUAACCUCUCUAUAAAGCGCCGAAGCCUUUUCUUUUCCCCCGACUUUCUCCUCUGUUCUUCCUCUGCUUCUCGCGACUUCGGACUUCACGCGACCGAGACCGGCGAUUUCUUCUUCUCUCGGUGGCGCCGGCGAAGAGCGGACCUUGGAGCGUUGAGAGGAAGAGAGGUUAGUUACAGCCGAACCUUCUUUCUCCCCGAUCCCUUCCUCCCUUCUCUGAUCUCGGUGAACAACGGCGACGGAUCUCGAUCGGUGGAUUUCGCCGGCUGUCGGGAGGGAACCAAGGGCAUCGGCGUUGGAUCAGGCCAGCAUCGAUUGUUUGGAGGAGGUGGUUCUUUCUGGGAAGCAGAGACUGGUAUUUUGGUCCCGGCCACCACAGCUCUGUUGGAUCGAUCUCUUCUUCGUAUCAGUGAUCGUCUCCGGUGAUUGAAGGGUGCAGAGAGGAUGCGAUGUGCUUAUUUUAGAUACUGGAUUGGGAAGUGCAGAGAAUCAAGCAAGGGUCAAGGAGUUGCUUCAUGUGGAGGAAUCAAAACUAGAGGAGGAUGAGGGAAAUACCACUCCAGCAGUGAGAUGGGUUCGAGAUGAUAAAUAUGAUUGCAUCCGAUUAAAGCAUUGCAAGGUGAGCUAUAUUCACUGUGUAUCC